ACCUUCAGUGGUGUAAUUGGUAGCGCACUGACUUAGUAAUUAUAAGUCCUAGGUUCAAGUCCUGGAUGGGGCA